rnacentral:lncRNA from 1 species
AUUUAACUUGGAUGCUAUGGGAUUGCAAAGGUGGAAUAUGGCCACAAUGAUGUAUUUGUGUGCCAGUUACCAUUUCUAGAAGUAAAAGCAUCACUUUAAUUUGUAACGGAAUUAAGAAAGCUGACUUUCAAUAUAAAAUGCAUAUGUUUAAGUACUUUUAAAAUAUUUGUAGCUUGGGUUUAAAUCUUAAUAGGUAUAAUUAAUUUUUACCCUAACUUGUUCAUUCUGGAAUAAUCCUAAAAGUAUGAAUUGUUUGCAUGUUCCUUUACCAGAGUCUUUUUUGAAAAAACUUUUUUUUGGAAUCAUCUAUGGUUUAUCCUAUUAUAAUAAAGUAUUUGAAAGCUUUAUUUUCCU